rnacentral:rRNA from 1 species
AGUGAACGCUGGCGGUAGGCCUAACACAUGCAAGUCGAACGGCAGCACAGGAGAGCUUGCUCUCUGGGUGGCGAGUGGCGGAUGGGUGAGGAAUACAUCGGAAUCUACUCUGUCGUGGGGGAUAACGUAGGGAAACUUACGCUAAUACCGCAUACGACCUACGGGUGAAAGCAGGGGAUCUUCGGACCUUGCGCGAUUGAAUGAGCCGAUGUCGGAUUAGCUAGUAGGCGGGGUAAAGGCCCACCAAGGCGACGAUCCGUAGCUGGUCUGAGAGGAUGAUCAGCCACACUGGAACUGAGACACGGUCCAGACUCCUACGGGAGGCAGCAGUGGGGAAUAUUGGACAAUGAGCGCAAGCCUGAUCCAGCCAUACCGCGUGGAUGAAGAAGGCCUUCGGGUUGUAAGGCCCUUUUGUUGGGAAAGAAAUCCAGCUGGCUAAUACCCGGUUGGGAUGACGGUACCCAAAGAAUAAGCACCGGCUAACUUCGUGCCAGCCGCCGCGGUAA